rnacentral:rRNA from 1 species
GAGAGAGAGACAUGCGCGCAUAUCAAUAAGCGGAGGAAAAGAAACUAACAAGGAUUCCCCUAGUAACGGCGAGUGAAGCGGGAAGAGCUCAAAUUUGAAAUCUUAAAGGGUUUCCCUUUACGAAUUGUAGUUUAAAGAAGUGUUUUCUGUUGAGGUUUUGGUAAAAGUUCUUUGGAAUAGGACAUCAUAGAGGGUGAGAAUCCCGUAUUUGACCUUUACUUUCAACUUUGUGAUACACUUUCAAAGAGUCGGAUUGUUUGGGAAUGCAGUCCAAAAUGGGUGGCAAAUUUCAUCUAAAGCUAAAUAUUGGCGAGAGACCGAUAGCGAACAAGUACCGUGAGGGAAAGAUGAAAAGAACUUUGAAAAGAGAGUUAAACAGUACGUGAAAUUGUCAAAAGGGAAGCGUUUGACACCAGUGUUGUUUUUCUGAAAAUCAAUUAAAGAACUGUUUAUGCUAAGUUGUUUAGACUUUAUCAGCUAACUGUUUAGUUUUGAGCUUUUCUUUAAUGCACUUUUCAGUUAACAAGUCAACAUCAAUUUCUUUUGCUGUAAAAAAGCUUGAGGAAGGUGGCUUGAGAUUCGUCUUAAGUGUUUAUAGCCUCUUGCCUAUGCAGUCGGAGAGAUUGAGGUCUGCAGCGUAGAUCCUUCGGGGCUAAAUGCAUUUGUGCUAAGUUAUAACAUUUUAUAGACAACUUGUUGACUAUGAUUUGUCUUGUAGCUUACUCGCUUAUGUUAUUUUACCUACGCUUAGGAUGUUGACGCAUGAGAUAUACGC